AUACGGAGGAUGCGAGCGUUAUCCGGAUUUAUUAGGUUUAAAGGCUGUGUAGGCGGUAUUUUAAGUCAGUGGUGAAAUCUCGGAGCUUAACUUCGAAACUGCCAUUGAUACUGGAAUACUUGAGUAUAGUUGAGGUAGGCGGAAUAUGUAAUGUAGCGGUGAAAUGCAUAGAUAUUACAUAGAACACCGAUUGCGAAGGCAGCUUACUAAACUAUUACUGACGCUGAUGCACGAAAGCGUGGGGAGCGAACAGGAUUAGAAACCCCAGUAGUCC
rnacentral:rRNA from 1 species